rnacentral:lncRNA from 1 species
GCACAAUCUGCUUGUUUCAUUUUAUAGACAGAAAGCCAAGAACUCACAUAUCCUGUGCUUCCCAAUGGUUUCCCUUCCAUUCUUAAAAGCUUGUUGAUAGCCUGCUAAUGAGGUCCCUAUCUCUCCCUACUGCCUCCUCCCUCGUUGGUGGGGCUGAUGUUUCUGUGGUCAAAGUUCUUGGACAGCCUGCAUUUUGGAGGCUAUGGAAAAUGGGGAAAUGGCUAUGAGAAAAAAAAAAAAAAAGGCUCCUCAUUCUUUCAUUCAACCACUACCUAUUAAAUGCAAGCUAGAUAGGUUGGAGGCCAGUUAAAGCACAAAACCCAUAGCCAUUUGAGCUCUGUAUUAAUAUUACCACUGCCAUCUGCUGGGAACAAUGCAGGGGCACUUGGAUUGAAAGGUGAAAGGAAGUUUCAUCACUGAAGCUGCUCCUCUUAAGCUAGAAAUAUGGAUCAAUGUCCUAUGGUAGGGAAGCUUCAACAAGAAUGCAGCAGGAGAUUGCAGUGGAAUAAGUACCUGUCCCAACCCUAAUAGUGGCUUUUUUUUUUUUAAAGAAAUGUUUAACAGUUACUCAGCAGCCACAAUGUUUGACAUCAGUUUCCUGCUUCCAGUUGUAAGAAUGCUGCGAUUGCUAAUGCCUGCUGACCCAUCCUCCUUAUGUAGAAUUAUUGAAAGAACCCUGGAAUGAGGAAGGCACACAUGGCUCUAAUAAAUACACAGAUAAAUGCUCUUUGAUAAUAAUCCUGGACUGUAAAAGUUGACUGGCAAAGCUGGGCAUGGUGGUGCAUGCCUUUAAUCCCAGCAACUCUGGAGGCUGAGGCAGGAGGAUUGGAAGUUUGAAGCCAGCCUCAGCAACUCAGCAAGACCCUGUCUCAAAAAAAAAAAAAAGGAUUGGAGAUGUAGCUGAGUGGUAAAGCACCUUUGCACUGGUUCAAUCCCCAGUAUGAAGAACAAACAUUAAUUGAACACCCACUAUGGGCAAGGUACUAUAUUAGGUUUCUAUGAGGCCCUUUUCCUCCAUUAUCAGAAUUCAUCUCCCACUCCCUCUUUCUGCCUACUACUCUGUUCUAACUACACUGGUCUCCCUGUUUCUCAGACCUGUCAGACAUGCUCCCAACAUAGGGCCUUUGUAUAGCCCUUCCCUUUGCCUGACACUUUCUUCCCCUAGAUGUAGUCAUGACUAACUACUUAGCCUUCUUCAGGUCUUUGUUCCAAUCUCAGUGAAACCUAAACUAACCAACUCAUUUAAAAAGUAUAUUCUUUCCUCCCCCAUUUCUCUAUCCUUUACCCUGUCUUAUUUUUUCCCUGUUGCACAUAUUAUCUAAUAACAUACUAUAUGUUAUUUAUGAAUUGAUUGUCUAUGUCUCUUUACCAUAAUGUGAGCUCCAUGAGUGAAAGGAAGUUUUGUUUUGUUUUGUUUUGGUUUAUUUGUUCACUGAUUAUUCCAAGUACCUAGAGCAGUCCUUCUAUAUACUAGGUACUUAAUAAAUAUUUAUUAAAUGAAUGAAUAAAUAAAUGGAUUCAGGCAUCUAAUGCUCAUCUUCUACUAGGACUACAUCCCACUGGUUCAAUACAAAAAAAGGAUUUUGCUGGGCUGGAGUUGUAGCUCAGUGGCAGAGUGCUUGUCUAGCAUGUGUGAGGCACUGGGUUCGAUCCUCAGCACCACAUAAAAAAUAAAUAAAUAAAAUAAAAGCAUUGUGUCCAUCUACAACUAAAAAUUAUUAAAAAAAAAAAAGAUUUUUCCAUCUUAUUCUAAAAUUCUCUAGGAUCCAGGCUGCACACAUCCUUUCUUAAGCAAAUUACAGGUCACCAUCACC